GCGUGCAGGGUGGUGCGGUGUGGACUGUUUGCGUUGCGCGACACUGGCUGUUGUUGCGCUGAUCAGCUAAACGCACGAUACGUGCUUCGAGUUUGACAAGCAGGAGGGGAAGCCCUGUUGGCUCGCGAGCGGCCAAAUAACUCCGAGAGAGGCGUCAGCGGCGAUUCCGUUUGACAAGCGAUGGGAUGCGGACCACGGCACGUUGCCCUGGAGAGUAAAUGGUUACAGCAUCUGUGUCAGGGCCAGUAAAGUGACAAGCUGAAGAUGGGAGACAAAUAAUUAUUAUAGAAUUAUUCAAUGUCAGCAGAGAAAGUGCCUCAAAAGCAUCUUGAGACAAUCUUUGUCAAGCCCCAUUGCCAGGCAUCAGCCCAAAAGACACACAAAGAUGAAUUUCAAGGCUAUAUGUGAACAGGAGAGGCAACAUUUGGCACACAACCAGUACUCAAAUUUAUGGCGGCUGCAUACUGACACUGUUUAAUUAUGCCUUUGUUGGUUAAGACACCAUCCAGUAUCUUACAUUAAUUAUGCCAUAAGACAAUUAGCCCCCUAAAGUGAGUGUAAAGACUUUUUCCUGUCAGAAGAGGAUUGAUUCAAUGAUGUUUAUCGGAUUGGUAUUCAAAGAAUCAUUCUCAAUGCAUACUUAAGGCCUCCUCCCAACAUCUUAUGGAGGCGGAGGAAAAGCAGUCAGCUGAUGGGAAGCAGUCUGGUGGACAGCAGCAGCCAUCAGAGUCUUUUUUAGCAGCAAAGCUGCCUCAGUUACAGCAACAAUCUACCUCGCAAUCUGUCCAAGGAUCACAUGGCCACAGGCAGCCUAAACACUUUAAAAUGCUCCAAAGGCAGAAGCAGCAGCAACAGUCACAGGUGGGUGAGUCAUCUUGGCAGCUUACAGAAGUACCCGGUCCUUCAAGAGGCAGCUGUUCAGAUCCAUCUCCCCGAAUUCAUAAUGUUAAGCAAACUCAAUCUCUGCCCAGUGUAGAAGCACAGGAAGGCACACCAUGUAGACGCGAACGUAAGCCCCAAAAACCAGGGAAAUAUGUGUGCACAUACUGCGGCCGUCCUUGUGCAAAGCCUAGCGUCCUCCAAAAACAUAUCCGAUCCCACACUGGAGAGAGACCAUAUCCAUGUGUCCCAUGUGGCUUCUCCUUCAAGACCAAAAGCAACUUGUACAAACACCGCAAAUCCCAUGCGCAUCGAAUAAAAGCAGGGAUGGCUUCAAGUCGUGAAGAGACCAGUUUUAUUGGGCCGGAAGGUGGAGCUUUGGGAGAUGAACAAGUAGAAGGUACGGAAGGAGAGAGUACAGGUUCUGAGGAUGAGACAGGGCAACACCAACCAUCUACCUCACAGGGCAGGCCAACUCUGAAAAAAAGUAGUAAAGUGGAAUUGUCAUUUGUAGAGGAGGGUCCCCAAACUGAGGACUCACAGGCAGUCAGGCAAAGGUUAGCAAUGAGGCUAAGUGAGAGGAAGCGAGCUCCCAGAGCAUCUUCAGAUGAAACCCGAUCCUCACUGGGUCCUGGCAGUAAGGGGAGCACAGAAUCUGGCUAUUUUUCCAGUUCUGGGAGUGCUGAGCACUCCCAAGUGAGCCCACCAAAUGCCAGUGCUAAGACAUAUGCUGAAAUAAUUCUAGGAAAGUACGGACGCAUAGGACAACAACAAAGAAUUUCACAUCAACAACUGCAAUUAUCAUCAUCUUCAGGUCAACAGGAAAAAUCUGUCUCUUUCACUGUACCUAAGACACAAGUAAUUGAGCAUAUAACUAAGCUAAUUACUAUAAAUGAAGCAGUGGUGGAUACAAGUGAAAUUGAUAGUGUCAAACCAAGACGUUCCUCACUCUCUAGAAGAAGUAGCAUUGAGUCUGUAAAGUUCUCUUCACCCAAAGAACCCUGUGUUUUUGAACCAAAAGUGGAUGCACCAGGCUCUUGCGUCUCUGCUGUUCAACUUGUUCCUGGUGGUUUUGCAAGUGAAUUACCUGGCUCAUACCUGGCUGAAACAGAAACAUUGGCUGGUCAGAGGUCCAGUGCUCUUCUCUUUAGGAGUCAAUCAGUGCCAUCUUCUUGUAAUACUCCAGAUACAGCUUCACAUGGCUUUCGUCUAAGUCAUUCUUUUGAUGAUCAGCAGGCCAUAGCAGCUGAAAUGAGGACUGGGCCACAUCAACGAAUGUUACGACGUCAACCUGCUAUUGAGGUGCCGGUUGGAGUGGACCUUAGUAUUGAGGAUGCAGGUCCUUCUUCUAAUUUGAAAGAAAUAGAAUUAGGAAAGAAGCCAGACAGGGAAUUACACCUUCAUGAGUGUGACAUUUGUGGGAAUCACUUGAACAAGCAGGACUCUUACACAUCACACAGACUAGUGUGUAUGAGUAAAUUUCCACAUUGUCCACAAAGUGAGGAAGACAGCUAUUUUACUGAGAAUCAGCCACAAACUAUGAGCUACAAGUUCAAAGAAAUGGCUAUGGCUCUGCGCAAGAGAAAAAAAAAAGAAGAAAGUCUUGAGGAAGACCCUCCCAGUCCAGGUCCAACAGCAGUGUCUUUCAGCACCCAGCCUCCAUCCAUGCUAGUCAGUAUUGAUAAUCAGGGCCCACCUUGUGACCUUUCACAAAGUGAGAUAGAAAGGAGGUGUCCCUGGAAAGAAAUUUCUGUUAUCCAGCAUACCAGAUCCUUUGAAAAACAGGAAAGCAUCUCUAUGGCAAGUCAAGAAGCACAGCCAGAACAAGAGCAAUCCCAGGAGCCAAAACCAGCCUCCAUAUCCCGGUUAAUCCGUCAAUCCAACAUUCAAGUGCCAGAAAUUCUGGUUACAGAGGAGCCAGAUACCAAAAUGGUCUCCCAUCCAGCAAACACAUACACCUCUAAAGAGUCAGAAAAGGUGGAGGAAUUCCAGUGGCCUCAGAGAAGCCUAAGUCUGGCUCAGCUCCCUGCAGAGAAGCUACCGCCAAAGAAGAAGCGUCUCCGUUUGGCUGAGGCAGCCCAAUCCUCAGGAGAAUCUAGCUUUGAGUCAGUAUCCCUGCCACACAGCCCAAGCCAAGAGAGCAAUGUUUCCCAUGCCUCCAGUCGAUCUGCAUCCUUUGAGGAAUCAGGAAGGCCAGACUCUGAAAUGCAAAGUGGUCCCUGGAGCUCCCAAGUGUCCCACAUGCUGACUGUUCCAUCAAGUCUCCAUCAACCCCAUCAUUCUCACAGAGAGAUGCGCCGCUCAACCUCUGAACAGGUAUCUGCAAGUCCUCCACACCCUUCACAAGUAGAGGAAACAAGAAGUAAGUCAUUUGACUAUGGGUCCCUCUCUCAAGGGCACACUUCUGCUACUUGGAAGGAGAAGAGAAAAUGUCUCUUGGUGAAGCACGGAACCCUUGGUGAAACUGAACAGGAGGAGUCAUGUAAACCUGUCAUCUCAGCCGUUUGCCAGUCCUACACAGGUCAUCCUCCAUUUACAAUCACAGACCAUAGAAUGGGAGGCAGGACCUCUAGGCAUAUAGAAAAGACCUUGCAGCUUUUCCAGUCCUCUCUUUCCCUCCCACCAGAAGUUUUCCCCCUUCAACAAGCAAACCCUGAUUUUUGUCCCCCAAGUCAUUUCAAUAGAUUCCUUCCUGUAACUACAGCAGUUGUUUCUACUCCGAUGUUUCAGCAAGACUUCCUUCACAGUGAGCCACCUCUGUCACAUCCGAGACCCAUAGAAUAUGUAGAACGCCUUGGAUUACCAAUUCAGCCACUCACCACUUUAUUCCCUCUACAAUCAAAUCACAAUGCUCAGGCUGUUUGUUUGCCAGGUGGAUUGACUAUUCAGGUCCCCUCAGGGCCGCUCUUCAGUGAGUCUAGGUCAUCACCUUCCUCCUUGAGUACACCCAGUCAUUCACAACAGCAGUUAGUUGUCCGCCACAACCCCUAUCCAGUGAUUGCUCCUUGUCUUCAACAGCUUAUGCCAGAGAUGUCUCUUGUGGUGCCUGUGCGCUUACAGACCCACAUUCCUACCUAUGCUAGUGCCAUGUAUACAACCAUCUCACAAAUUUUAGCCACAGCGCAACAUCCAGUCUGCUGCACAGCUAUGGUAAUCAUGGGUAAGCUGGAGGAAGACAAGCUUCAGAGAUCUUACCUUAGGCUUCCUUCACCUAACCCCAAGAGCUAUAUUCCCUUGCCGCUGCCUAUCGAGCAUGGAGCAGGUGCUUCAUCUGAUGACAGCUGUGGGCAGCUCAGUGCUGGAGGAAGCAAACGAAUGCUGUCACCUGCAGGUAGUCUAGAACUCAGUUUAGAGGCACAGCGUCACCAAAAACGGGUGAAAGAGGAGGAGGAGAAAGAAGAGGUUGACAAGGAAGAUGAUGAUAACAAAUGUAACAGUAAAUCUCAGGGGGUGAGUCAGGGAAAAAUUAAAGAGAGGCUAACAGUGGAGAUUGUAAGGAGGGCCAAAGAUCCAAGAGAAGUUAUUGAAGCUGAAAAGUUAAGCAAGCAGGACAUAACCAAACACAAAUCAGAAACCUUGAAUGAGAAGGCAAGGAAAGAGGCAGGACAUCAGUAUUCUCCAAGAGUAACAAGUCCAGAGAAAUCUGUGGAACCCUCAUUCCCCAGUUUGCAUACCACUACAUCUGUCAGCUGGUGCUACCUGAAUUACACAAAGCCCAACCCCUCUACACAUAGAGAUUCAGCUUCCGUCUAUUCCUCAUGGAGUGUUAGCAUGCAUAACCCCAAUAUACCUGGCUUGUCCACCAAAAUAUUACUGUCCCUGCUGCGCUCCAAACAGAAACAUUGUGCUGAGACAUACACUAUGGCUACAACUCCACCUCCAACCACUGACAAGCUGGUUCCAACUGACAACAAGGCGACCAGUGCGUCAGAGGUACAUGCCUCCCCGCCCAGCACACCCAUCAAAGUAAAAGAGGAACCACCAUAUGAAAGAGGUGAAAAAGAGAAGAGUGCUGAUGACGUGCCCACUACCUCGACGCAAAGUGAGGCAGCACGUAUUUGCAUUUUUGAAGGCGGGUAUAGGUCAAAUGAGGACUAUGUGUAUGUUCGGGGUAGGGGAAGAGGAAAAUAUGUUUGUGGGGAAUGUGGGAUUCGCUGCAAGAAGCCCAGCAUGCUAAAAAAGCACAUUCGCACUCAUACAGAUGUUCGCCCUUACGUCUGUAAGCACUGCAACUUCGCCUUUAAAACCAAAGGGAACCUUACCAAACACAUGAAGUCCAAGGCCCACGGUAAGAAAUGCCUGGAGAUGGGAGUGUCAGAGUCAUCUGUGGAUGAGCUGGAAACUGAGGAAGCAGGGGACAGUGAGGAGCGAGUGUGUGGGUCAGAAGAACAGGAGGGUCACCAGUUCUCUGAUGCUGAAGAUUCUGAAACAGAAGAUGAUGAGGAUGAGGAAGAGGACUUCUCAUCCCAUGAUGAACCAUCUUCAGUCUGUUCCACUGAUACUCGACAGUCCACGGGUGACCUCUCUGAAAGUGCCCAAGGCUCACAGACUGAGCCCUCUGACCCUACAGCAAAAGAGGAAUACUCUGCUCCCCACAGACCAUGGCCUGGCAUACGAGCCGUGUCUCCAGGCAGCAAGAGGGCAUCGUUCUCCCGCAAGGGCUGGGAGGUUUCCCCAAGGACCUUCUCCCCUAGCAGUGAAGGCUCUCCCCUUAGAAGCCUGUCUCCUAGGCUUGAAUUGUCCUCACCUAGCCGUCAUCUCUCUCCUUCCCCAGAGAGGGGCCCAUCACCCAUCAGAGCCCUCUCCCCUCUCAGGCCUCUGAGGCCUGUAUCCCCGGCGCGGUACAGGAGUCCCAGAGCUCUCUCCUCUCAUAUGCCCCUAAAGCCCCAGCAUCGGCCACACAGCUCACCCGCAGGGCUCCACUGGGAACCUAGCCCACCAGCUACUGAAGGUCCAAAGGACAAGCCUGCCACUCCAACUCUACAGGAGCGUAUACCCCCGGAUCCCUGCCUGCUUUCCCCAUCCCUACGCUUCUCUCCAAGUGAGUCUUUCCCUCCCGCUCCUGUGUCACCAUGGACCACAGACCGCAUGUUUAGCCACCUUCCUUUACACUCCCAAGAUCAAGCCCGCAUGCCAUAUCACAUGAUUCCCAUUGGGGGCAUCCAAAUGGUGCAGCUCAGACCCCGAUCACGCCCCAAACUGGAACGACAGUCAUCCUCCACCCCUUCGCCCACCUCUCCCAAAGAGGACUCCCCUUUUUCCCUCACCAGGAGGGAUUAUCCAUGGAUCUCGCUUCCGGAAACCAGUCCACAAAGAACUCUGGCAGACAAAAGGACAAAAAGCCAAGAUGAGGGAGCCAGCCGGUCUGAUCGGUCUUGUCCCAGUACAAGUUUAAUGUUAUCCAAACUCCCCCCUUUACAACAAGAUGUAGGGGAGCAAAAGACUGCAAAGGUCGGAAAGCAAUAUGGCGACUCGAGCUCUGCCACAAAGACUCGCACCUUCAGUCCCGAAACCUUUAGGAAAGCAGUGACAGACAGCGAUGCAGGAGCUGAGAGAAUCUCACAGGAAGGAGCGAGUUCUUCAGGUGAAACAGACAGCUGCGUGAGACUGAAAAGCCUGUAGCGCCGGCACUCAGGGGACGUGGCUCUUUUUCAGAAGGAUGUUCAGGAUCUGACAGUGCACCUCAGAGCCAGGAAGGUGAUCCAGAUAGCACUUAAAAGCCUCUGUGCACAAUUGUGAACUGCUUUCUACUGCUUAUACUACUAUUGUUUUGUUUUGUAAUGCGCUCAUUUUUUUAUAUCCAAAAUUUUCAAUACUAUUCGUAAUUUGAUAAUUGUUUGUUCUGCAAUAUUCAAGAUUGUAAUAUGAUGCAUUUUUUUUUUUUCUUGGAAAAAAUAUUUCCUUAAAUUGAUUACGUCUGUCCCUCCUAUCUUUAUUGACAUUGCCAUCCUAAUAUAUCUAUUUGAAUAUGUAUAUGUACUUGUAACACAUUAAGAAUGGGUAUGAAUACAUUUCUAAGCGACCAAGAUAAACUUAAAUCAAGAGUAAUUCCAAUAUUUCGUCUCUUGUCCAGUAUUGCACAAAUUCUAGUGAUGUGUGCCUUUUUCUGUCCAGAUUUACUGCUUGAAGUGUCAAAGAAGAAAAGCUGUGAAUUCUUUUCAUGAAUAUAGAUUAUUUUUUUCUUUAUACAUUAGGUUAAAUGAGACAGGCAUUGCUGUUGAAUAAACAAGAAACAGGUUUGGCAGAGAGCCUUGCAGGGAAAUUGCACUGAAGUCAUUUUUAUAAUAAGUGAUUCAAUGAUUAGAUCAAUUGUCUCUGUACAGAUAGAAAGUCUAUGGUCCUUAUUUAUUGCCAUUUGAAAAUAAGAAAAUGCCUAUGUUUUGUUUACUUUGCUUUUCAAAGGGAUUUCUAUCGUCAUUUUUUAUUAUUCUUUACACUUUUUGUUAAUAGUUCUUUUUUUUUUUGUUAUGACCUCAAGACUUGAAAUGAAGAAACUGGACAGGCUUUCAGUGAAGUUGGUCAAUAGGUGAGGUUCUGGAUGGAUCAAAUGCUCUCCAAAUUUGUCACAGACAUUUUGCAUUUCUGAACCAAUAAAGCGCUCCCACUCCCACAGGGACAGUCUGAGACAUGGCAGAUCAUCUGUUCACUUCCUAAAGGCAGUUUGUCCAAGGCUUUUUCAGUCUCUUUUUUUUUAUUUUAGUUCAUUCUUCUUGUAAUGUAAUUGUUUUUGUUUUAUCCAUGUAGAGUUUAACAGCUGCAUGUGAUGGAUGUGUUGGCCGUGGAGAAUGCUGCACAGACCUUGAAGCCACACUCUCAUUUCCUCUGAAAUGCUAUCGGCAUAAGCACACAGUAGGACAAAAAACUUCAUGUGAGAUAUGUAAUCAUUUAUGGCAAAUUUCAUGCUUAUAUUAGAUCACUACUUUUAAUACUACUAAAUAAGUGCACUUAGGCUCUGUGUGAAUAAGAACAGACCAUGUUCUGUCAGUCUGGAUUCCUUCAAUAUGAAAUGCAAUGAUAUUGAGUUAUAUUCAGUUAUAUGAUCCCACCAGGACGGCUUUGUGUAAUUAUCAUUCUCAUGCCAUGAGCCAGAAAUGUAAGUAAUACAAUAAUUAAUAAAUCGAAAUCUACAGGUUAAAUGGGUCAAGUGAUUCAAAUUUGAAUGUGGUUCAUGCUAGGCGCAGUUAGUGCCAUGCCCAGAUCUUUAUUUGCCUUAUCCUUAUCACUUUCUCUUGAAUACAGUCUGGUGUAAAUAUUAACCGUUCUCAUUGAGCGAUACACUCCACAACAAUGCAUUUUAUUUUCUGUUUCCGUUUUCGAAACAGUCUGGCAUUUGGGAUUGUCUUUAUACAACACUGGAAGAUACAGACUCAAGGCUGUGCACUUGUGUAUAUUACACACUUCAGUUUUUCCCCAUAAUUUUUUAAAGAAAGCAAAAAAGCUAAUUAGUUAAAAGAAAAUCCCUAUAUAGAAAAUCUACAGUUUUUGCAGGAUUAUUCACUUUUACUGAAAUAAUUAAAAUAUUGUAAGAAAAUUAUUAUUAUUAUUUCAAUCAAUAAAUGUUUUUAUUUUGUUUCAUGUGAAGUUGUAUCAAUAGAUAAGAUGUAAAAUAUGGCACUCCAAAAUUUAAAGGUCACAUUUAUGAAAAGAAGUUCCGGGGAAACACAACAUUUAAUCAUUAAUCAUUAUAUGUCCUGCUAUGCUUUAAGUGUCUGUUUAUCUUUGUACUUUGAAAAUAACAAGGCUUAAAGCAUUUUAACUGUACAAGUAUCACUGUUUGAGACUAAUGGUUAGAUACUGUAUUAGUUGAGCGCAGUGGAUCUAAUCACAUUAUCCGUAGAACUAUUUAACAGACCAGCCUUUUACAAUUGUGAUAGGCCUAAUAAUGAGGAAGGUUUCUUGAACAUCAAAUGAGCAUAUUAGAAUAAUAAUUAUAAUUCAUUAUUAUUAUUUCUGAAGGAUCAUGUGACACUGAAGACUGGAGUCAUGGCUGGACUGGAAUCAAAGGAAUAAAUUACAUUUUAAGAUAUAUUAAAAUGGAAACCAUUCUUUUAAUUAAAAAUAAUAGUUCACAGUAUUGUUUUUACUGUAUUUCUGAUAGAAUAAAUUCAGCCUUAAUGAGCAAUAAAAAAAAAA